rnacentral:rRNA from 1 species
CAGUAGCCGCGGUAAAACGUAGGGUGCAAGCGUUAAUCGGAAUUACUGGGCGUAAAGCGUGCGCAGGCGGUUAUAUAAGACAGAUGUGAAAUCCCCGGGCUCAACCUGGGAACUGCAUUUGUGACUGUAUAGCUAGAGUACGGCAGAGGGGGAUGGAAUUCCGCGUGUAGCAGUGAAAUGCGUAGAUAUGCGGAGGAACACCGAUGGCGAAGGCAAUCCCCUGGGCCUGUACUGACGCUCAUGCACGAAAGCGUGGGGAGCAAACAGGAUUAGAUACCCCAGUAGUCCCUGUCUCUUAUAA